rnacentral:rRNA from 1 species
GUCUAUGGCCAUUCCACCCUGAAUGCACCUGAUCCUGUCUGAUCCCAGAAGCUUAAGCAGGGUUGGGCCUGAUUAGUACUUGGAUGGGAGAAAUAUCAUUGAUUUUUGAAUGUUGAUCUUGUAUCCU